AUGGCAACCGGAUCGAGCAGAGGAGGGCUCAGGCGAGACGAGCUCGCUGGCGGGAGCAGCUCCGGCGGUGGAGUACGCUGGGAGCGAGCAUGUGCGGCGGUGGACGUGAUUAUACCUGGUCAAAUGUCGGGCCGGGCCAAACAAAGCUCGUUGCAAAAAACCUGGGCCCGAGCCCGGCCCGGCCCGGCCGUCGGGCCUAGAUUUCAGGCCCGAGCCCGGCCCAUCAGUCAAAAAGCCCGACGGGCCUCGGGCCAUGGGCCGGGCCUCUUCGUUAAAUGGCAAAUAUGGCAGGCCCGAGCCCGGCCUGGCCUGGCCAUCGGGCCUAAAAAUCAGGCCCAAGCCCGGCCCAUGGGCAAGGUCGGGCCGGGCCGGGCCAUCCGGGCCGGGUUUCCCAUGGCCAGGUCUAGACGUGAUGCACACAACAUGCUCGAUAAAAUGUGCAGGUGA
rnacentral:rRNA from 1 species